AUUGAACGCUGGCGGCAUGCUUUACACAUGCAAGUCGAACGGUAACAGGGUGCUUGCACCGCUGACGAGUGGCGAACGGGUGAGUAAUGCGUCGGAACGCACCGAGUAAUGGGGGAUAACGCAGCGAAAGUUGUGCUAAUACCGCAUACGCUCUGAGGAGGAAAGCGGGGGACCUUCGGGCCUCGCGUUAUUCGAGCGGCCGACGUCUGAUUAGCUAGUAGGUGAGGUAAGAGCUCACCUAGGCGACGAUCAGUAGCGGGUCUGAGAGGAUGAUCCGCCACACUGGGACUGAGACACGGCCCAGACUCCUACGGGAGGCAGCAGUGGGGAAUUUUGGACAAUGGGCGCAAGCCUGAUCCAGCCAUGCCGCGUGUCUGAAGAAGGCCUUCGGGUUGUAAAGGACUUUUGUCAGGGAGGAAAUCCCUAAGGUUAAUACCCUUGGGGGAUGACAGUACCUGAAGAAUAAGCACCGGCUAACUACGUGCCAGCAGCCGCAGUAA
rnacentral:rRNA from 1 species